CCGAGAGAAGAAGCCACGGCUAACUCUGUGCCAGCAGCCGCGGUAAGACAGAGGUGGCGAGCGUUGUUCGGAUUUACUGGGCGUAAAGAGUUCGUAGGCGGUUAUACAUGUCUGUUGUGAAAUCCCGAGGCUUAACCUCGGAACUGCAUCAGAAACGGUAUGACUAGAGGACAGGAGGGGGGAGUGGAAUUCCAGGUGUAGCGGUGAAAUGCGUAGAUAUCUGGAAGAACACCGGUGGCGAAGGCGGCUCCCUGGACUGUAUCUGACGCUGAGGAACGAAAGCGUGGGUAGCAAACAGGAUUAGAUACCCUGGUAGUCCACGCCCUAAACGAUGGAUGCUAAGUGUUGGAGGUAUCGAUCCCUCCAGUGCCCCACCUAACGGAUUAAGCAUCCCG
rnacentral:rRNA from 1 species